rnacentral:rRNA from 1 species
UACAGGGGGUGCAAACGUUGCUCGGAAUCAUUGGGCGUAAAGCGCACGUAGGCGGUCUGUUAUGUCGGAUGUGAAAGCCCUUGGCUUAACUGAGGAAGUGCAUCCGAAACUGGCAGGCUAGAGUACUAAAGAGGGUCGCGGAAUUCCCGGUGUAGAGGUGAAAUUCGUAGAUAUCAGGAAGAACACCCGUGGCGAAGGCGGCUCUCUGGGACGGUACUGACGCUGAGACGCGAAAGCGUGGGGAGCGAACAGG